rnacentral:lncRNA from 1 species
GUCGGGGGCGGUGCCGGGACCAAGCGUUCCGUCGCCUUGGUGGUCGCCCGGUUGCAGACCUCUGUCUGCUUCCAGGGCUGUGGGGCUCCAGAGGCUCAUCCCUGGAGGGCGGGAAGUCCUGGAGCAGUGCGGGCGUGACCGCGGGCUUUGCCCACAGAAACGCUUUCCAAGGGCUCCGGACGCAGACUAGGGGGCGUCUGGAGCCUGGUGUGGUGUCUCGUGCAGCCCGUCCCGUGGGAAUGGAUGCAACUUCGGGCGCAGGCGACUGGUGGGAAGUUGGAAUCGUGGAUUCGUGAGCACGCACUACGGGCGGCUAGGUCUCGCUUCCUGUUACCCCGUUUCCUUGACAAUCAUGCCACAACCUCGAGGCUUCAGGUCACAACGCUGAGUGGAGUGGCUCUGCUCACUUUUCAAUGCCCUGCGAAGUUUUAUUCUCGGUUCCCCACCCCAAUAUAAAGUAAAUCAUGUUUUAGUUUAUUAUCUUUUUAGAUUUAUGUGUGUUGAGUGUUCUAUCUGCAUGUAUUGUGUACAUUGCAUUGUGCCUGGAAGCCAGAAGGGGGAGUUGGAUCCCCAGAACUGGAGUUAUGGAUGAUCCUGAGGCACCAUGUGUGCUGGGAACAGAACUUGGUCCUCUGAGAAUAGCACAUGCUCCUUAACACUGAGCCAUCUCUCCAGCCUCACAAUUCGUAUUUUACACAAUUCGUAUGUUUCACCCUAUGUUAUAUCCAUUUCCAUAAGCCAAUUGAUUUGCUUUUACUUGAACUCCAAGCAAUUUCUCUUAUGGCUUAGUAAUGUUUAUAAUUAGGAAAACUACGUUGAAAAGAUAAUCCAGGUGAACACAAUGCUAACCAGCAAAUGAGCUGUUGGUAGGAGGCUGUGGACGGGAAGCCAGGCAAGCUUGGUUCUCAGACAUUUCUGCCACCAAGGAGGUUGAAGUAUAAAAAUCAUCUUUACUGCGUCUUCCAAACCUAAAAUGCAAAUAAUGAACACACAUUCCUUUUUUAGUUUCCAGACCUCUUGACUUGAUAAUCAAAAUAAUAAAAUUCUGUUUAAAAAUUAUUUAUUUGGUUUUUGAGACAGAGUCUCUCUAUGUAGUCCUGGUUGUCCAGGAACUCACUAAGGUAGACCAAGCUGGCUUCCACCUGCCUCUGCCUCCCAAGUGCUGGGAUUAAAUGUGUGUGUCCAUGCCCAGCCAAGAAAAAGUUUUUAAACUGUUAACUAAACUACUUCUACUCAAGAAAGGAGGUGACUAAUAACAGUUUGGCCUCUCUAUCUUUGUAAAGCAGAAACUUGUCUUAAUGGUUAUCCUGGAUGACGUCAUUACAUGGGGAUAAGCCUGAUUUGUAAUGACAGAGCACCACCCUGUGUGUGUUAUUCAGUCACAGAUUCUGUUCAGUAGACAUCCUAUCACUGUGCUGGGAUUGGAAAUGCAGAGAUAAUUUAAACCCUGGAUUCUGAAGCUGAUCCAGGAGGAUAAAUCAACCCAGACAGCACAUGUUUGCCGUGGUGGAUGGUGUGGCACUACAGUGUGUGUUUACUGUGGUGAUAGACAGCAUGGCACUACAGCUCUGCUUCUGAUGGCCAGGGCUUUAUGUCUAGUCUGUCUCCUUGUCUAGUCCAUCAGUUGUGAGGAAAAGACUUCUGGAAAAGCCAGCACUUGAAGUAAGUAUUAAGUAUACCUGGGAAGAGGGGUUAAGAAAUGACAAAAUCACAGAGAGCAAGGAGAUGUGACUGCCGGGAGAAAUGAGGAGUAUGUUAGAUAUUUAUAGUAAGUGAUAUAAACCAGUCCCAAAGGGUAAAUAGGUAUGACCCUACUUGAACACAGUCCUUAGAGUAAAUAGACGGAUGGAGACAGAAGACAGAAUGCUGGUUGCUGGGAGCUGUGGAAAGGGGGCAUACAGAGUUAGUGUGAAUGGAUAAAGGUUUGAGAAGAAAAAAAAAAGGGUCCUAGAAAAGCAUGUUGAUGCUUUAUACAACAGAGUGAACUUAGCAGAUGCCAUGGAACUGCAUGCUUAAAUUGCUUAAUCCCAGGGCUGAGAGGGAUGGCUCAGUGGAUAAGCAUAAAGACCUGAGUUCCAAUCCUCAACAUCCAUUGAAAAAACUGUGUAUGUGACUACGUGUACGCCUGUAACCCCAGGGCUCUGGGUGGAGGGGGGGCAGACAUAGGAUUUCUGGGGCUUGUUGGCUACCAGCCUAGCUCUAGGUUCAGUGAGAAGAAGAGUAAUAAAGCAGGAUGCCCAUCAUCCUUCUCUGGCCUCAUACUUA